UUUUUUUUCACACGCAGAGAAAAACAAAAAUAAAGAGAAGGAAGAGGAAGAACGAAGAAGCGAGCUCUAAGAGAGCAGCAAAGAGCCUGCUUCGGCCUACGCCUCCGUCAGGUAAUUUUCUUUCUCAAAUUAUUAGGUCUUAAGUCUUCGUUUCUUCUAUUUCUUCUUCUCAUUAUCUUAGAGAUGGAAAAAACCUAGAGAACGAAAAGAAUACGUAGAUUUUAUAUUUAAAUCUUGAGUGAAAAGAGUUUUCGGAUCUAAGUUUGGAGGAAUUUUAAGCUCCAAGCUUUUGAUAUGCGAAUAUUAAGCAUUCUAUAAUCGCAAUCCUCGAUUUUGGCUCUGCUUCGAGUGGGUUCUUCGUGACCUAGGUUUUUAGACGACUGCUUUUUUUCCCCCUUUUCUCUUUCCAUUUUUUCUUUAUUAAGCUUCACCCUAAAAAACAAGUAUCAUGUUUUAAGUAAAAUUUUAGAUCAAUCGUAGAUUUUCCCUUUAUUUUGCUAUUAAAAGUCCCUUUUUUUUAUGCGGCUUGGGCGAUUUUUUUCUCUGUUUUGUAUAUUCAAUGAUGUUUUUCUCUUUUUUGAAUUUUUAUAUUUCUUCAUAGAAAUUUAACAUGCUUCUUUUUAUAUGAUUAGUCUUGACAAAUAUAUGCUUAUGAUAUUCGAACUAAUGAGUAUACAGAUAGGUUUAAGAUAAUCAAUAUUUAAAUGUGAAAAUUUGACUUUUUUAUAUUUUCACUUUCAAUCUAUAGUUCUAUGUACCGCUAAUGAGACGUUUCUCAUGUUCUUUAUUGUUGGUAGUACUUAAUAUUAUAAGUUACUUUUGUGGAGUGUGUCAAGGGAAAACAUUUAUGAAUCGAGGUAUUUUACUGAGUGCUUUUUUAAUUAACUUCGUUGUACUACUGUUGAAGAAUGAGGAUUAAUGUCAUAGAAAAUGUGGGGAUGCCAUUAGAAGGGAGAUGGAAUUAUUAAAAAAUUCUACUCCAAUAUGUUCCAAUUUGGCCUUAACGUCUUUAACCUCUAUAGGAGAUUUAGUCACUGGGCUCCAUGACAUGAAUCUAACCUAGGAUAUGUUCCCUAUCGAUGUUCAUCCCUGUCACAGGAACCCUUACCAAUUUAUAGCAAAUAACUGGGUCUAUUUCUUUGCAAUUGGAUGUUAUUUAUUUAUAAUAAUCAGGGUUGAAAAGGUUCAAUGGAGAGGUGGGGCGUGCAAUUAGGCAAUGCUGAACACCCUAUUCCCCCCCCCCCCCUACAAAGAUCAUUGCUUCCUUUUUGGUCAUGAUGUUGUUGACAAGUUUCUAUGGUUUACUAUGUCAUAUUGUUGAUCAUUACACUGGAAUGAAGGCAUUGUUGAAUUUUUAUUUAGAUGUAUCAUACAUAGGCCAGUUUUUGGUUCUGCAUGUUAACAUGAACACUGACGAUGUUUUAUCACUGAUCAGAAUAAUACUACUGGCUGGUUAUGAAAGAAAUAAAGUCUUGACUCUAUUAGGAGUUGUCUUUGUCUGCGGUAUUAUAGUGUUCGGAGAUAUUUAUAAAUGGCGGGGAUGUUACCUGGGGAUUCCUCACAUCAUUCACAUCUGAUACUGGAGCUUCUAGAAAU
rnacentral:lncRNA from 1 species